rnacentral:lncRNA from 1 species
GGAUUUGAAGAUAAAUCAUGCCAAAGUUAGCUAAAAAUCUGGAAUUCCAGACUUAGCCAAAAUCGGCCGAAGAGGCAGGAUUUCAGGGACUUAGCGAUGUUUGAGUCGAUUUUUGGGCAGCUUCCGAGUCGAAUUAGACCAAGGUGUUAUUGAAAGAGUUGUUCUACAAACUGAGGAAUUCAACUUUUAUUUAGAGUAUUGCUUGAGCUUAGUUCAGAAAAUUGGAGGAACACCCUCACC